UACGGGGGGGAGCAAGCGUUGUCCGGAAUUAUUGGGCGUAAAGAGCUCGUAGGCGGUUUGUCGCGUCUGCUGUGAAAACUCGGGGCUUAACCCCGGGCCUGCAGUGGGUACGGGCAGACUAGAGUGCGGUAGGGGAGACUGGAAUUCCUGGUGUAGCGGUGAAAUGCGCAGAUAUCAGGAGGAACACCGAUGGCGAAGGCAGGUCUCUGGGCCACUACUGACGCUGAGAAGCGAAAGCAUGGGGAGCGAACAGG
rnacentral:rRNA from 1 species